UUCUUCCUGUGUCUUUUUUAGUACUUGCAUACAGUUUUAAACAAUAUUUUAUUUUUUAAACAUGCUGUUGGAAUAAAAUCUUCCUAAAUCUGGACAAAAAUGUAAGAGCAUGGAUUUUUCUAUUUUUGACCAUCCCCUCCCCUAAUGAAGAACUUUAUUGUUGUUUUGCUUGUUGCGUCGAUGAGAAAGUUUGUUGGUGUCCGAAGAUGGAAGACUUCUUCGAUGUGUUGAUCAACAAAAUCAAAAAAGAUGAUUUUUACGCUCUCUUAGGCUGCGAUGAACUAGCUUCCACGGACCAGAUUAACGCAGAGUUCCGACAAAAGGCCAAACUUCUUCAUCCGGACAAAAACCCUGGUGAUCAUAACACGGCAAAGUUGUUCGAAAGGUUGCAAAAUGCUCGUAACGUUUUGUGCAAUGAAGAAAGCAGGAAGAGGUACGACUUCUGGCGCCGCUCUGGAAUAGCGGUGCCGUAUGAACAAUGGGUAGAGCUGAGUGGAGCGGUGCACACAUCAUUGCAUUGGGCAGCCAAGCCCAGGAAAGAGCUUAUGCUUGACCACAGAAAAGAUGACCCUCAAGAGGAAUUCUUAGAUGAAAAUCUUAAGGCAAAGCGUCUUAAGUUAUCCAAUGAUGCCAUCUUGAGCAUAUCAAAGUCACAGGACAGACGACGCUGGACUUCAAAGAGAGGAACACACAUCAGCAAGUUUAGAAGAUAUGAGAUUUAAAUGGUUAUCCACAGUUUGUGAUCAAAUUGUGGUAAUUAGUACCAGUGUUCAGAAGAUGGUUUAUUCGUUAGAAACUUCAUACUUCAUUGACGCUGAUCCAUAGAUCUGAGAUUUUGAAUCCAAUAUUGAUCUGAAACACUGUUAUUCAAAAGCUGACAGAGUCAAAGUUGACAGUACAAUGUAAAUGGUACAUUUUGAAUAUAAAUAUUUAACUUGUAUGCAGUGGAGUAAGCAGACUCGACUCUUUGAAAAUUCUAUAGUUUGUAUUUAACUGCUUUGACUCAAUCAACUUGUACAGAAAUAGUAUGAGUUCCAAAUGGGCACUUACAAGUGUAAUGGCAGAACUUUGUACAAUCAUGUAAAAUAUAAUCACAGUCUGUGGAAAUAUACUCACUUUCAAAAAAUUGAUAAUAUUUAUGGUCAAUAGUAUAAGUAGAUGAAAAUUGAGUCGUUGUGUUCAGCAGAACGCAGAUCUAAUCGCAUAAUGCAUAAAAAUUCGAGACCUGUGUAUCUAUCUAUCUAUCUAUCUAUCUAUAGGGGACACCAAUUUUACCCCCGCCCCCCAAAAGAAAGAACAGCAAAUUAAACCGCUUAGUGAAUAACAGUUUAUUUAUUUUACAUGAAUGUAAAUGAUUAUGUUGUUCUGGUCCCCUUUAGUCUCAGGUCAUUGAAAGUAAAUUAAAAAUAAACAAAACUUGGCAUAGACGCAGAACCUGAAUUAUGAAAUUGUGCAAACCAAACCGAAUUUCCCUUUAGGCAAAUGAGAAGAUUUUCAUAAAUGCAAAUUGAAUGGGAGCUUUAAAAUUGCUUACAGGCCAGAGUUUAAACUUGUUCUUUUGUUUACGUUUUGAAUUCAUGCUGAGUUUACAUCAAAACAUGAAAUUUUGAAGGCCUACUAUUUUUGCGAGUCUAUGGAAACUGGUGCCAUCACACAACAUUUGAACAGCAAAUCAGCCAUCGCAGUCUAUACAGGGGACCUCUUCUCUGGCAUGGACUUUGACUCUAUAUCUGUCUGUGUAAAACCUCAGUUGUUCAUAAAAAAUGUUGAUUUUAGCAAUAGACCGAGGUUGAAAGUCAGCUAGUUAAGUCAUUUAAGGUAUAUAUAUGAAAGUGACGGUGUCGAGCGCACUCAUGAUCUUUGAUUACUACUAGUAUUUUACAAAAUCCACAGGUUUUCACAAAGAAUUCACACAAAAAGGGUUACAUAUUAACUAAAGGUUUUAAGUAUCAAGCAAGAAGGGAAAAGCAUGAAUCGGGAAAUAGCAGGAAAUGGCAGGUUCUGUUGUGCUUCUUUUCCCUUUACUCUUGACAAACUACAUGUAAGAAAACAAAAGACAUAUCUUAGUGUGGCCUGAUCACAGAUUAGAGUUAAAUAUUACAUGCAACACUUUAUUAUUGUCCUAAGUUUGCAAUUUUACAUGUAUCAGAAGAAGCUUACAUUAUUUUUACUUGUGAAGAAAAACUCUGAAGUUUCCUUGAACUACAAAUGUUGUUCAGGUCUAAGUAAGUAUUAAAUAUUACUUAAUAUUGUGUUAUUGUGUGAGUGAAUUUUGUAGUAGUGGCUUCAUCUUAUCAUUCAAGAAUAAAGUAUGUCUUAAUUAGA